GAUGAACGCUGGCGGCGUGCCUAAUACAUGCAAGUCGGGCGAACGGACGAGAAGCUUGCUUCUCUGAUGUUAGCGGCGGACGGGUGAGUAACACGUGGAUAACCUACCUAUAAGACUGGGAUAACUUCGGGAAACCGGAGCUAAUACCGGAUGAUAUUUUGAACCGCAUGGUUCAAAAGUGAAAGACGGUCUUGCUGUCACUUAUAGAUGGAUCCGCGCUGCAUUAGCUAGUUGGUAAAGUAACGGCUUACCAAGGCAACGAUGCAUAGCCGACCUGAGAGGGUGAUCGGCCACACUGGAACUGAGACACGGUCCAGACUCCUACGGGAGGCAGCAGUAGGGAAUCUUCCGCAAUGGGCGAAAGCCUGACGGAGCAACGCCGCGUGAGUGAUGAAGGUCUUCGGAUCGUAAAACUCUGUUAUUAGGGAAGAACAUAUGUGUAAGUAACUGUGCACAUCUUGACGGUACCUAAUCAGAAAGCCACGGCUAACUACGUG
rnacentral:rRNA from 1 species